ACUGGGGGAAAGAGGCCACAGCACUGAGCAGCAUUCAGUCCAUUACCUCAGAGAGCAGCAGGGAAACCAGUGGCACCUCCAUUACUACCACCACCACUCACAUCUCCAAGGUGGUGAAAGGAGGAGCGUCAGCGACCAGAGUGGAGAAGAGGAUCGUCAUCACUGCCGACUCAGAGGAUGACCAGGGAAGUGACGGCGGAGCAACAGCAAUGUGAUUCAGCUCAACACACAGUCAGGGAGCCCUAUGGAUCUGAUGCUCAAGACACCAGAGCUUUGUAGUACAGACUAACCCUCC